rnacentral:rRNA from 1 species
UACGGAGGAUCCAAGCGUUGUCCGGAUUUAUUGGGUUUAAAGGGUGCGUAGGCGGAUAAUUAAGUCAGUGGUGAAAUCUUGCGGCUCAACCGUAAAAUUGCCAUUGAAACUGAUUAUCUUGAGUACAGUUGAGUGGGCGGAAUGUAUCAUGUAGCGGUGAAAUGCUUAGAUAUGAUACAGAACACCUAUUGCGAAAGCAGCUCACUAAACUGCAACUGACGCUGAGGCAACGAAAGCGU